rnacentral:misc_RNA from 1 species
GAUGAAGAACGUAGCGAAAUGCGAUAAGUAAUGUGAAUUGCAGAAUUCAGUGAAUCAUCGAGUCUUUGAACGCACAUUGCGCCCCCUGGUAUUCCGGGGGGCAUGCCUGUCCGAGCGUCAUUGCCGCCCUCAAGCACGGCUUGUGUGUUGGGCCCCCGCCCCCCGGCUUCGGGGGGCGGGCCCGAAAGGCAGCGGCGGCACCGCGUCCGGUCCUCGAGCGUAUGGGGCUUCGUCACCCGCUCUGUAGGCCCGGCCGGCGCCCGCCGGCGCCCCCAAUCAAUCUUUCCAGGUUGACCUCGGAUCAGGUAGGGAUACCCGCUGAACUUAAGCAUAUCAAUAAGCGGAGGA